rnacentral:rRNA from 2 species
GACCUCAAAUCAGGUAGGACUACCCGCUGAACUU